GUCAAGUCAUCAUGGCCUUUAUGGCCAGGGCUACACACGUGCUACAAUGGUAGGUACAGAGGGAAGCCAACCGGCGACGGGGAGCCAAUCCCAGAAAACCUAUCGUAGUCCGGAUUGGAGUCUGCAACUCGACUCCGUGAAGUCGGAAUCGCUAGUAAUCGCGUAUCAGCUACGACGCGGUGAAUACGUUCCCGGGCCUU
rnacentral:rRNA from 1 species